rnacentral:lncRNA from 1 species
CUGAGCUUAGGCAGCCCGAAUGGAUGGAAGAAGGCUCCCCUCAGCACUGCUGUCUCCUCAGUUGCUAAGCAGGAUUAGCCUCCUCUUCCUCAGGAGGAGGGGCUCUGCUCCUGCAUCAGCCACCAGCUCUGGCCCUAAUCUCUCUCGCUUUCUAAUCCACCCACGACUUUCUUAGGCAUUAGCGUUGGGCUCUCAGCUCCCUAAGCACCACCCUGAAGAUGGGAGCCUGGCUCUGAAGGGAAUUAGGCCAGCCUCAGAGGACGGCUUGGCAGACAACUGGAGAGAGGCUGAGAACACCACCCACCCCUCUGCUGUGCCUCCUCUGUAACUUCCCCCAGACAGGGUCUCACAGGAGUGCCUCCCAUUUUACUGCUAGAAGCAGGCAAUGAGACCCAGAGAGGACACCCAUACAAGGUCACCCAGCACCAGAUCCCAGCUCUGCCAGGCAGCACAGUGCCCCAUGUGGCAGCAGGGACACAUGCAGCUUCAGCUUGUAGGCUCUGCGUGUACCUCUCAGGCAGCGGAGCUAAUGUACCCUGGGGAGGAUUACCUGGAAUUGUCCCUUCCCAAGAUGGGUGACUUCCCAGCCCAGGUCUCAGCCAGAGAAACCAUCCCUGAGGAAGCUGGGGGGAUGGAUCCCACAGAGACAGUGAAGGAGAGCGGAGAUGGCCUAGCCCAUCUGGGAGCGAGAGCGCUGCCCGGUGACGGAGGCGCAGAGACACAGCUCCUCUUUCCACAGUGAAGCAAUGUGCUGCCCAGCCACCAGAAGUCCCCUGAUCCUCUCACAGCCUGUGGGAAAGAGGAUGCAGGAGCCCAGACUGUUUCCUGGUUGCAGGCCCUUUGCCACCAGCCCUCUUCAUCUCCUCUGCUAUGUUGGACCCUUGUACCAGGAGCUGGGCGAGGUGGUACCUUAAUGCAAACAUCUCAUCCCCAGUCUAUACUGUGGUAAAAAUGUCGUGGGUCGUACGUAGAGUUCCAGUUCUCAGUGAAAUCUGAAAAGGCUGUGCUGAUUUUGUGUAUUGUUCUCUAGGGUUAAGGUAUAAAACUUUCUCCCUGUCCAGAACGCUAACUAUAAUGAUAAAAUACAAACUGAGCACCCACCCAAUGUUUAUUGCAUGAGAAAGAAAAAUGUACAAAUCCCUGAUCCCAAACCUGGUUAUAUUUUCACAGUGAAAAUAUUGCCCUGACCCCAAACACAGGCUCAAGAACAUAGGGGCUAAGCCUGAGUCCCUACCUUGAAAUUCAAACAUACUUGUAGGAAUUCAAACAUAUUUUCAUUGCUCUAUGAUGAUAAUAGCAUAUAAUCCCUUAAUUGCCUUUACUUCUGGAGCCAGAUCAUUCAGUUUCAAGUCCUGACUACUCUACUCCAACUGGCUAUGGUACUUUGUCACCGUCCCUUAAUGAAGGCACACAGAGUAUAAGAGCUUUCAUUUGUAAAGCCUCACAAGACAGUUAUGAAAUUUUAUUAUAAAUAACCUA